ACAUCCAGAGAACUUAGCAGAGAUGCUUUGGUGCCUUCGGGAACUCUGAGACAGGUGCUGCAUGGCUGUCGUCAGCUCGUGUUGUGAAAUGUUGGGUUAAGUCCCGNAACGAGCGCAACCCUUUAUCCUUUGUUGCCAGCGGUUCGGCCGGGAACUCAAAGGAGACUGCCGGUGAUAAACCGGAGGAAGGUGGGGAUGACGUCAAGUCAUCAUGGCCCUUACGGCCAGGGCUACACACGUGCUACAAUGGCGCAUACAAAGAGAAGCGACCUCGCGAGAGCAAGCGGACCUCAUAAAGUGCGUCGUAGUCCGGAUUGGAGUCUGCAACUCGACUCCAUGAGGUCGGAAUCGCUAGUAAUCGUAGAUCAGAAUGCUACGGUGAAUACGUUCCCGGGCCUUGUACACACCGCCCGUCACACCAUGGGAGUGGGUUGCAAAAGAAGUAGGUAGCUUAACCUUCGGGAGGGCGCUUACCACUUUGUGAUUCAUGACUGGGGUGAAGUCGUAACAAGGUAGGCGUAGUGCU
rnacentral:rRNA from 1 species